GUAGGGAAUCUUGCGCAAUGGGCGAAAGCCUGACGCAGCCAUGCCGCGUGAAUGAUGAAGGUCUUAGGAUUGUAAAAUUCUUUCACCGGGGACGAUAAUGACGGUACCCGGAGAAGAAGCCCCGGCUAACUACGUGCCAGCAGCCGCGGUAAUACGAAGGGGGCUAGCGUUGCUCGGAAUUACUGGGCGUAAAGGGAGCGUAGGCGGAUAGUUUAGUCAGAGGUGAAAGCCCAGGGCUCAACCUUGGAAUUGACUUUGAUACUGGCUAUCUUGAGUAUGGAAGAGGUAUGUGGAACUCCGAGUGUAGAGGUGAAAUUCGUAGAUAUUCGGAAGAACACCAGUGGCGAAGGCGACAUACUGGUCCAUUACUGACGCUGAGGCUCGAAAGCGUGGGGAGCAAACAGGAUUAGAUACCCCUGUAGUCC
rnacentral:rRNA from 1 species